rnacentral:rRNA from 1 species
UACGUAGGUGGCAAGCGUUGUCCGGAUUUACUGGGCGUAAAGGGCGUGCAGGCGGUUUGUUAAGUGCAGGGUGAAAGCUCCCGGCUCAACUGGGAGAGGUCCUUGCAUACUGGCAGACUUGAGGGAGGCAGAGGAAAGUGGAAUUCCCGGUGUAGUGGUGAUAUGCGUAGAUAUCGGGAGGAACACCAGUGGCGAAGGCGGCUUCCUGGACCUGUUCUGACACUGAGGAGCGAAAGCGUGGGGAGCGAUCCGG